rfam:Diplodia corticola strain CBS 112549 scaffold17, whole genome shotgun sequence.
CAGCUUCGUAUGCUUGUUGCGGGCAGAUGAAAUGGAUGUGCGUAUCAAAACCUCCAGCAGUGAUGAUCUUGCCUUCGCCAGCGAUAACGUCCGUGCAAGAGCCAAUGACGAGGUUGGGGUGAACCCCCUUCAUGACGUCCGGGUUGCCGGCCUUGCCAGUGCCUACAAUGUGGCCGUUUUUGAUACCAAUAUCAGCCUUGUAGAUACCAGACCAGUCCACGAUCAAAGCAUUGGUGAUGACGGUGUCCAAAGAUUCGCUAUCCCCACGACCUCCUGCUUGACCCAUUCCCUCGCGCAG